rnacentral:lncRNA from 1 species
AUAAGAUUUCGAAGUUUUACCCAUUUUUGAAUAUAGAUAGUUGUCCAGACAUUACAUCUCAAGAGUUAAAAAUUAGAUGAAAAUAAAGUUGCAUGUCAGCUCUAUGCGCCUGCUUCUCUACAUCUUUCUAAUUCCAAUUGGGUGCCCAGUGCCACCCUACCUCUCAAGUUUUCAAUAGAAAGGAGUCGAAGGAAACAUCACUGAUCUUCACUCUUUCUAAUUGAUAAUUACAAAUAAUUAACUCCUCCAGCAAGUUGUACCAAGGAUGAAUAUGAUGCACAAAUGCUUUGCAGCCAAAAGGGGGGUUCUACUGUCCAAGGUGGGGUAAGACCAUUUGAUUUGGGCUCUUGACAUUGGCUUCAGAAGAUCUGAAAGAAUACACUCCUGUCUUCUUCAGAAUUUUUGAAGCUAAAUGCAAGCACGUAAUUCUUAUGUGCUCUGGUGCAUCAAGGUUUGUUCGUAUAUUUGUGUUUAGAAAAAAGGAG